rnacentral:lncRNA from 1 species
AAAGACGCAUCAUAGCAACCAAAGAUUAACCACUGAGCAUCCACAUCCAUCUGAGCUCAGAGACAGCACUGAGAAAGGCCUGACCCAGGAGUAAAUGACUUGAAAGCAUGUGCCAAAUUAGAGGCUUCCUGGUGACCUCUGGGUGAAAGCAUUUGACAGCAAAGAACUCAGGGACCUUCCUCAAGAGGUUUGGACGACAUUGUGAGAGGACCACACUCCCCCUACACAAGGCAAGCUUUACGUAAGUAUCUAACUGUAACCUCCCCCCUCAGCCUGAAACCUGGCUGAUCAGUUUUCACUGUUAGCACGAAGAGAGCUUCCGGGUGGAGCCUGCCACCUUAUCGGUCUGCCACUCCCACUGCUACUACCUGCCGCCUAGCUGUUCCGGAGCUAUCACGUGGUCACCUGAAACUGAAACUCCAGUUUGGCGGGAAUGGGCCCCUUCCCCUUCUUCAUAACCCAGUGUCUGGGAAUAGUAAAAUUGAAC